rnacentral:snRNA from 1 species
GCAUGAGAAGGUGACCUGGCUGUGACAUCUGUCACCCCAUGAUCUACCCUGUAGAUAGGCUGAUAUGGCUGACUAGGUGUCAUAUGCAUAUACAUCCCUCAGAAAUUUGAACAGAAGGAUGUCUUUCCUGGACAGAGGAGUACGGUCCUGCGGUUAAGGGUAAAUGGCUAGCCUUCUCCCCUGCUAGAGUCUGCAAUUAAGUUUUCAGGGGAAAACAUCUACAAUAGGAGAAACUCGUAGGAUAUUCGCUUCAAGGUCCACACUUGGAGGUUUACUAAACAGC